rnacentral:rRNA from 1 species
GAUGAACGCUGGCGGCGUGCCUAAUACAUGCGAGUCGAGCGAACGGACGAGAAGCUUGCUUUUCUGAUGUUAGCGGCGGACGGGUGAGUAACACGUGGAUAACCUACCUAUAAGACUGGGAUAACUUCGGGAAACCGGAGCUAAUACCGGAUAAUAUUUUGAACCGCAUGGUUCAAAAGUGAAAGACGGUCUUGCUGUCACUUAUAGAUGGAUCCGCGCUGCAUUAGCUAGUUGGUAAGGUAACGGCUUACCAAGGCAACGAUGCAUAGCCGACCUGAGAGGGUGAUCGGCCACACUGGAACUGAGACACGGUCCAGACUCCUACGGGAGGCAGCAGUAGGGAAUCCUCCGCAAUGGGCGAAAGCCUGACGGAGCAACGCCGCGUGAGUGAUGAAGGUCUUCGGAUCGUAAAACUCUGUUAUUAGGGAAGAACAUAUGUGUAAGUAACUGUGCACAUCUUGACGGUACCUAAUCAGAAAGCCACGGCUAACUACGUG